UACGGGGGGAGCAAGCGUUGUUCGGAUUUACUGGGCGUAAAGGGCGCGUAGGCGGUCAGCACAAGUCAGUUGUGAAAUCUCCGGGCUUAACUGGGAGGGUGCGGUGGAAACUGGGGUGCUUGAGUGUGGGAGAGGUAAGCGGAAUUCCUGGUGUAGCGGUGAAAUGCGUAGAUAUCAGGAGGAACACCGGUGGUGUAGACGGCUUACUGGACCACGACUGACACUGAGGCACGAAAGCGUGGGUAGCAAACAGG
rnacentral:rRNA from 1 species